rnacentral:rRNA from 1 species
UACGUAGGGUGCGAGCGUUAAUCGGAAUUACUGGGCGUAAAGCGUGCGCAGGCGGUUUUGAAAGUCAGAUGUGAAAUCCCCGAGCUCAACUUGGGAACUGCGUUUGAAACUCCAAAGCUAGAGUAUGGGAGAGGGGGGUAGAAUUCCACGUGUAGCAGUGAAAUGCGUAGAGAUGUGGAGGAAUACCAAUGGCGAAGGCAGCCCCCUGGCCUAAUACUGACGCUCAUGCACGAAAGCGUGGGGAGCAAACAGG